AGGAAACACUGGAACUCAUUUGGUCAUGGAAGUUAAGCAACAUUGAGCCUGGUCAGUACCUAUAUGGGUGACUGCUUGGGAAUAUCAGGAGCUAUA